GGGAGGGGAGGGGAGAGAGGGAGGGAGGGAGGGGAGGAAGGAGGGAGGGAGGAGGGAGGGAGGGAGGGAGGAGGGGAGGGAGGGAACAAAUGUAAUAGCAGGAAACUUCUGAAGCCCAGGGUUCCUGUGUGGGAGCCGGGAGUCUUGGUGAGGAAGACGGGAGGUAGGACUUAAUACUGAAGUAUCUAGCUAUUUUAAACGCAGCAUCACCAGGGCAACUUUCAGUAAGAAAUCUGGUAUCACUGUUGAGGAAGACAUAGCACAAGAGGAAGAGAAUGCUCUCAGGUGAGGACUGUGUUAUUUACUUCAUCCUCUUUUUUUGCUGACAUCCUUUGGUCUCCAGAGUUCGGGGGUAAGAAACGAUGUGCAUUGUUUAAGGUCUUUAAAGUGACUAUUUGGAUUAAUUUGGGGCUGGGAAAGUUUCAUCUAAAAUAAAAACAAAAACAUAGGUACAUAAAUUUUAAACUAUUUAAAUAGUUUGAAUUUUGAAUUGAAAAUAAAGGAGUCCGGAGGUGGAACUCA
rnacentral:lncRNA from 1 species